CUCACCAUCUGCAGCCUCUCAGAGGAGAAACUGGUUGUCUUUAGCCUCUCAGAAAAGGAAUUCACAGUCUCUAGCAUCUCAGGGGACAAACUUAUCAUCCUGAGCCUCUCAGAGAAGAAACUUACUGUUUCCAGCCUCCUAGACAGAAACUUGCUGUCUCCAGCCUCUCAGAGGAGAAACGGUCACCAGCCUCUUAGAAGAAGAAAACCUUGCUGUCUCCAGCCUCUUGGAAAAAAACGGCCAUCUCCAGCCUCUGAGAAGAGGACCUCAUUGUCUUCAGCCUCUCAGAAAAAGAACUCACCAACUCCAUCCUCUGAGAGGAAGAACUCACCAUAUCCAGCCAAUCACAGAGACUCACACUCCCCAGCCUCUCAGAGGAGAGACUCACUGUCUUCGCCUCUCAGAGAAAAAACUCACUGUCUCCAGCCUCUCAGAAAAAAAAAAAAGACUUGCCAUCUCCAGCCUCUCAGGAGAAACUCAUUGUCUCCAGCCUUUCAGAGGAGAGAGUCACCAUGUCCAGUUUCUCAGAGGAGGAGCUCACUGUCUUCAGCCUCUCAAAGUAGGGCUUUGCCAUCUCCUGCUACUCAGAGAAGAAGCUCCCCACCUCCAGCCUCUCAGUGGAGACAGUGGGGUUACAAUGGCAUAGCAUUGCCCCAACCCCCAAAAGAAAUAGUAUCGAAGUCCAAUGUAAACCUAUUAAUUACGUGGCUGUGCUACAAUCAAAACAUAGAUCUCUGACGUCAGCCUUAUUGUUCUUCAUUGUGUUGAUCAAGAGCUUUCAGGUUCCUCUUUCCAUGUAGUUGAGGAAAUUCCUCAGCCCAUUGUCACCUCGGAUCUCAUGCUGCAACUCCAUCCUUAGCUCAACACCCACUGGCCCCUGCUUUCAAACGGUUGCUGGUCUUCAGGUAGAGCAGGUUCUGCAGAUCAAAGGACAUUUUUCACUAAAAAUCUCUGACAUCAGAGACAGAGACUACAUAUCUAUAAUGAACCUUUCCGAAACCUGUCCAUUAGAAAGCCACUUCUCAGUACAGAGGUGGCCCUUGGAGUCUUUCCAGGAUUUUCACAUCCAUCUGCGAAGAGGAAAAGAACUCCUGAAACUGGGCUGACUUCAUAACCAGUUUAAUUUCACACAUCUCACCUUUCUGGAGCUGCCUUGUUUUUCCCUUCUUGCAUCACUGCAGAGGAAAUUCAUGGACUUCCUAAAGGUGAGGCUGACCCAUUAGUAAGAAAGUCUUGCUUUAUAUUAAGUUGGCUUUCUCUGGAGAUCUCCUAACUGCUUUAUAAACAUUCUUUCACACCUCCAAGCAGGUAGGUGGUAACUCAUAUUCAAUUGUUACUUUAGUUUCAGUGAUCCCCAGGAGCACUGAUCCCCUGACCAGAUGCCAUGGAGGCUGCUAAGUCAGGUAGCUGGCUGGGCUGUGGAACAAUGGGCAAAAUCACAGCUCAGCCCCAUUGUCUUUGGCUGCAGAUUACCCAGCAACAGGGCCGCUCUCCAGAUGCAGGUCAAGGAGGAGUGGACCCUGAGGCCUGGCAGCACGCACACUUAGCUACCUGGAGGCCUUCUGAGUGAAGCCCCAUAUCCGGAGCCAGUACCUGAGCUACAGCCGCUACGUGCAGGUUGCGCACUGAUAGAAGUGGCCCUGCAGCCUCCAACUUCGCGCUUCCCCUCUGGACCCCAGCAGCGCAGACUCCCAUGUCAGAUGCCACUGCCGCGCCUAAGUCAGGUGGUCCGCCUUGCAGCAGCACGAGGGCGGGAAAGGCCACUCAGCCUCAUACUGGCAGCUGCACAGUGCCCAGAACCCGCCACCUCGUGCCAAGGAAGAGCACACCCUAGAAUGGGAGGUUAGGCACACCCUAGAAUGGGAGGAGCA
rnacentral:lncRNA from 1 species